CGACCAUAUUAAGUUGAAACACCGGUUCCCGUCCAAUCACCAAAGUUAAGCAACCUGGAGCCUGGCCAAUAUCUAGAUGGGUGACCGCUUGGAAUACCAGAUGCU